rnacentral:sRNA from 1 species
CGACCCGAGCGAAGCGAGAGAACGUUGCGUCAGCAACGGCCCGCAGGGCGAGCCACGCAGUGGCGAGUCAUCCUCUAUCACCGGCAG